rnacentral:lncRNA from 1 species
AUGCCAAGAGCGUCGUUUUCUCAAGGACUCACGUCUUCAGGAAAGAAUGGCUUCUGCUGUGAGACGGGACGCUGCUGGUCUCAUUUGAUUUGCAUGGACGCCCACUCUACCACCACCCUCCCGAUAGAGUUGUGCUUGCAUGAUGUCGACACCACAGCACAGUUGCAUGCUGGGAAUGCUGCGCUCUGCAAUUUCAGAAACGCUUUCUGCCCGCCCGCAGCCCCUGUGCCAUUUUGUUCUGUUCACCAAAGCUCAAGACUCGAGCGCGUGAGGCCGACGCAAAAGAGACAUGCCCGGCACCUGACACCAAACCCCUUCCCGCUUGACAACCACCAGCAGUCACCUGCAAGAGAUUAAGGGGACAGUGGAGAAUAUUGGGGUCCCCAUACCCAGGAGGCAGCUGCCGCUGGAGCUAAUUAAACCCCCCCAGUAACAGAGCCGCGACUCAGCUCCACAUCAAACGGCACCUCCGACGCGACCGGCACCGGGAGCCUGCUGGGUCUGGGGCUCGACCCCGGGAACUCUGGGCCAGGGUUUGCCGGACCAGACGUACCUGGAUCCGUGCAGACCGGGAUCUGAUGGGUGGCAGCCCUGGCCUGGAGAGAAGAAAGAGGAAGGUCACAUCGGCCAGGCCAAAAGAAAACACCAAAGCGCUGAGUGCCAUCUGGACACGCAGCUCGGUUUUGUGGAGAUGUGCUUGGCUGGACCGACCCUGUGCAACACCAUCAGAUUUAUUAUUUUUUUUGAAGAUUUACAUUUUCCUCUCAAUCCAAAAAAAAUCUGUGCUGAACCAAGAAGAUUCAGUGCAUCUUCGCUAUUGUCAUCUUUCAAAACAAAUAUUAUUAUAUAAGUGGCAUUAUUACUGUUGAAGAAAAGCUGCAUUCAGCACGAUGCAUUUUUAGGGCGAGCUCAGAAAUGUAAUCCCAUUGAAAGAAACAGGCAGUCGUAUUUUUAGAGGCAGAAUUUGAUAGGAAAGCGAGGAACUUUGCAUCUGUCGCGCUCUCCACCUCCCUUUUAAUCUGUCUAUCCAUCACCCGGCUGCACGUCUGUACACCUGUUGGGGUGGGAGUCAGAGAACUGUUACUCACUUUUCCAUCACUCCGGCAUUAUUGAGCGGCGGCGAUGUGCUAAAUCAAAACGCGCAGAACACCGGAGAUCCUUCCUCACCUCGGCACAGAUCAUCUUGACACUAUUUUUGCCAUAAAAUUCCAUAUCAGAGUCUCUGCAGAUGUCAGGAAUCAAGCCUGAUGUUCCUUAGAUUCCUUCCCAGCUGUCUUAAUUUAGCACUACACUGGGGUCACUGGUUUUUCCUGCGUUUCUGACUCUUUUCCAAGCUGCAUAAAGGGUGUUAAAUGCU